UGCCAAUCAGGUGUUUGCACUAAGUUCGUCAUCAAUAUGGUAACCUUCUGGGAGCAGGGGGCCACUAGGUUGCCUAAGGACGAGUGAACUGGCCCAGAUCAGAAAGGGAGCAGGUCAGAACUCCUGCACCAACCGGUAGUGGGACUGUGCCUGGGCA
ensembl:misc_RNA Metazoa_SRP Metazoan signal recognition particle RNA